rnacentral:rRNA from 1 species
UUAAAUUGAAGAGUUUGAUCAUGGCUCAGAUUGAACGCUGGCGGCAGGCCUAACACAUGCAAGUCGAACGGUAACAGGAAGCAGCUUGCUGCUUCGCUGACGAGUGGCGGACGGGUGAGUAAUGUCUGGGAAAAUGCCUGAUGGGGGGGGAUAACCACUGGAAAAGGUAGCUAAUAACGCAUAACGUUGCAAGACAAAAAAGGGGGACCUUCGGGACUCCUGGCAUCGGAUGUGCCCAGAAUGGAGUAGCUGGUAAGUGGG